rnacentral:rRNA from 1 species
UACGUAGGGGGCAAGCGUUGUCCGGAAUCAUUGGGCGUAAAGCGCGUGUAGGCGGCUCGGUAAGUCUGCUGUGAAAGUCCAGGGCUCAACCCUGGGAUGCCGGUGGAUACUGUCGAGCUCGAGUCCGGAAGAGGCGAGUGGAAUUCCUGGUGUAGCGGUGAAAUGCGCAGAUAUCAGGAGGAACACCAAUGGCGAAGGCAGCUCGCUGGGACGUGACCGACGCUGAGACGCGAAAGCGUGGGGAGCAAACAGG